rnacentral:rRNA from 1 species
GGUUAAGCGACUAAGCGUACACGGUGGAUGCCCUGGCAGUCAGAGGCGAUGAAGGACGUGCUAAUCUGCGAUAAGCGUCGGUAAGGUGAUAUGAACCGUUAUAACCGGCGAUUUCCGAAUGGGGAAACCCAGUGUGUUUCGACACACUAUCAUUAACUGAAUCCAUAGGUUAAUGAGGCGAACCGGGGGAACUGAAACAUCUAAGUACCCCGAGGAAAAGAAAUCAACCGAGAUUCCCCCAGUAGCGGCGAGCGAACGGGGAGCAGCCCAGAGCCUGAAUCAGUGUGUGUGUUAGUGGAAGCGUCUGGAAAGGCGCGCGAUACAGGGUGACAGCCCCGUACACAAAAAUGCACAUGCUGUGAGCUCGAUGAGUAGGGCGGGACACGUGGUAUCCUGUCUGAAUAUGGGGGGACCAUCCUCCAAGGCUAAAUACUCCUGACUGACCGAUAGUGAACCAGUACCGUGAGGGAAAGGCGAAAAGAACCCCGGCGAGGGGAGUGAAAAAGAACCUGAAACCGUGUACGUACAAGCAGUGGGAGCACGCUUAGGCGUGUGACUGCGUACCUUUUGUAUAAUGGGUCAGCGACUUAUAUUCUGUAGCAAGGUUAACCGAAUAGGGGAGCCGAAGGGAAACCGAGUCUUAACUGGGCGUUAAGUUGCAGGGUAUAGACCCGAAACCCGGUGAUCUAGCCAUGGGCAGGUUGAAGGUUGGGUAACACUAACUGGAGGACCGAACCGACUAAUGUUGAAAAAUUAGCGGAUGACUUGUGGCUGGGGGUGAAAGGCCAAUCAAACCGGGAGAUAGCUGGUUCUCCCCGAAAGCUAUUUAGGUAGCGCCUCGUGAAUUCAUCUCCGGGGGUAGAGCACUGUUUCGGCAAGGGGGUCAUCCCGACUUACCAACCCGAUGCAAACUGCGAAUACCGGAGAAUGUUAUCACGGGAGACACACGGCGGGUGCUAACGUCCGUCGUGAAGAGGGAAACAACCCAGACCGCCAGCUAAGGUCCCAAAGUCAUGGUUAAGUGGGAAACGAUGUGGGAAGGCCCAGACAGCCAGGAUGUUGGCUUAGAAGCAGCCAUCAUUUAAAGAAAGCGUAAUAGCUCACUGGUCGAGUCGGCCUGCGCGGAAGAUGUAACGGGGCUAAACCAUGCACCGAAGCUGCGGCAGCGACACUAUGUGUUGUUGGGUAGGGGAGCGUUCUGUAAGCCUGUGAAGGUGUACUGUGAGGUAUGCUGGAGGUAUCAGAAGUGCGAAUGCUGACAUAAGUAACGAUAAAGCGGGUGAAAAGCCCGCUCGCCGGAAGACCAAGGGUUCCUGUCCAACGUUAAUCGGGGCAGGGUGAGUCGACCCCUAAGGCGAGGCCGAAAGGCGUAGUCGAUGGGAAACAGGUUAAUAUUCCUGUACUUGGUGUUACUGCGAAGGGGGGACGGAGAAGGCUAUGUUGGCCGGGCGACGGUUGUCCCGGUUUAAGCGUGUAGGCUGGUUUUCCAGGCAAAUCCGGAAAAUCAAGGCUGAGGCGUGAUGACGAGGCACUACGGUGCUGAAGCAACAAAUGCCCUGCUUCCAGGAAAAGCCUCUAAGCAUCAGGUAACAUCAAAUCGUACCCCAAACCGACACAGGUGGUCAGGUAGAGAAUACCAAGGCGCUUGAGAGAACUCGGGUGAAGGAACUAGGCAAAAUGGUGCCGUAACUUCGGGAGAAGGCACGC